rnacentral:lncRNA from 1 species
UAGAAAACCAAAAACCAAACUUUGUAAAACCACAUUCAUAUCCAUUCGUUUUCUUUGAGGUUGCUUGAAUAUCAUUGUGAUGGAAUGAAGAUGACUCGAAGAAUGCCAGACACAAAAAAUGUCUCUGAUGCAAAAAAAAAAUAAAAAAAUAAAAAAAAUCAAUGAGUAAUCCUCCUUGCACUGGAUCUCAUCCUGCAUCUCCUACUUC